GAUGAACGCUGGCUACAGGCUUAACACAUGCAAGCCGAGGGGAAACGGCAUUGAGUGCUUGCACUGAAUGGACGUCGACCGGCGCACGGGUGAGUAACGCGUAUCCAACCUUCCCGUUACUGCGGGAUAACCUGCCGAAAGGCAGACUAAUACCGCAUGUUCUUCGAUGACGGCAUCAGAUUCGAAGCAAAGAUCCGUCGGUAACGGAGGGGGAUGCGUCUGAUUAGCUAGUUGGCGGGGCGACGGCCCACCAAGGCGACGAUCAGUAGGGGUUCUGAGAGGAAGGUCCCCCACAUUGGAACUGAGACACGGUCCAAACUCCUACGGGAGGCAGCAGUGAGGAAUAUUGGUCAAUGGGCGGAAGCCUGAACCAGCCAAGUAGCGUGCAGGAUGACGGCCCUACGGGUUGUAAACUGCUUUUAUGCGGGGAUAAAGUGAGGGACGCGUCCCUUUUUGCAGGUACCGCAUGAAUAAGGACCGGCUAAUUCCGUG
rnacentral:rRNA from 1 species